UCAUUGCUUCAAAAGCAAAGGAACAGUCCCCCUGGGCCUCUCAUAGUGUCCCAUGCCAGAGCAGACUGGCCCUGAACCAUUGCCUGGCCUCUGCCCAUAGGCUGCAGGCACUGAAGCGGGUUGCACAGUG
ensembl:snoRNA